rnacentral:lncRNA from 1 species
UGAGCGUCUUGAGCAGGUACUCGGAGCGGUAGGUGUUGCGGACGAUGACGGCGCCGGGGACGCCCUGCGACUCGUCCCACUCGAAGGUGACCUUGAACACCGACUCCCCCGCCGCCGUCGACUUCAUCGUCACCACCAUCUCCUCCAGGUGCGCCGGCUUCCCCACCUUGCCCCGGCUCCCAUUCUCUGCAACCCGCCGGAACCAUCGUCACAACAUCAGCAAGAUAUAUCGACAACAUACAACACAGAUGCAAAUGGAACGAGAUACAGUACUGAUUAAAUUAACUUAAUCAUGGCUGUCACUUUAGUUUGGAUCGAUCGCUUUGGUUUGGGAGCGGCGUCGGACACGUGUGCCCUGCUGAUUGCACUCCUCUGCUGUCAUUCUCGCAAAUUUUUAAUUUUUUUUACUCCUCUGCUGUGUUGUCAUGGGGUCGGUCCCCGGAGCCGGAGGUCAUGGCCGGCAUUGAUGCUAAACCCAGGCGGCCACGCCAAUCUAGGACUAGGAGCAUCGAUCCACGGGAUGGGUCCACGACAAGAUGAACAUGAUCAAAAGUUGAAAACUGCCCUCCUUUGUCCCUUUAUUUUUGAACUGAAAUCAACACAGAUUGUUUCUGAACUGAAUCUAAGUAGGAGCACAUGAUGUGUGAUUCUUAAAACAAGAAAGAAACUGGAAUCGAUAGUUCGAUACAGAUUGUUUUUGAACCGAAUCGAUACGGGAUUCGCAGGCAAAAAAAAAAAAAGAGUGGAAUCACCACGGAUUGUUUCUGUUUCGAAAACGCCAUGACCCAUGAGUUGGGAAACUGAAACGCACGCGCGUACGAGGCGAGAGCCGGCGGUUACGCGGCGGCGGCGUGCGACCGACGCAGGGAGGGAGAGAGGGGAGAAGCGAAGGGGAAGGGGGAAGAAAGGUUACGUGGGUCAGGGGCGGUGGCGCUGACGAGGCGGAAGGAGACGCCGUCGUCCUUGCCGAGGAUCUUGUGGACGCCGUCGAGGAGGGAGGCGUGGAAGUCGCCGAGGUCGAGCACGUCGCUCUUGACCAGCACCGCCGUGCCCCGGAUCUUGCCCUCCUUCCACGCCUCCUUGUUCUUCCCCGUCAGCCGGUCCACCAGCCCGUGCAGCAGCAUCUCUCCUCUCCUCUGCUCUCUGGUUCUGCAGCGGAGGCAGGGCAGAGCAGAGCACGAGGAACACAACCGGUGGGUGCCUGUCCCCUUGCUGAUGCACUUGGCACAAGGAGGGCAGUGGUGGUGGUAGGGUGGCCUAGAUGCAGGGCCGCUGCGGCGGGAUUUAUAGGGCGCCUCGCCGAUACUACCAAUUUACCGCGGCCACCAACCCAGCCGCAGCGAUGUCAGAGAUGGAGAGAGAUCGCCGGAGGGAGGGCGAGGUGGUGCCUUCCGGUGCACUUUAUUAUAGUAGCGGUAACAAUUUUGUUUACUGCCUACUACAGUAUUACUACUGGUAUUUCUCGACGAGAUCCCGCCGGUUAUCUUUUAAAAAAUGCAUUUUUUUCUCUCUCUCUGCAGCGCGGCGCUGAGCAUGAGGCGGCACGGAGGAGGAGCCCAGCUGGCCUGCCCUGCCUGGCUGCCAAAAACGCCAUGGACUGGACUGGGCGACUGGCUGCCAAAAAACAGGACGCCAUUGAAAAGAGAAAGGUGGAGGUCGUCGCCCUCCCUGUCCACACCAGGCUUUCCUUUUUUCCGGACCGAUUAUGCAAUAUGUCUGAUUAUUAACGAGACAUAUUGCUCUUCAUGCGGGAUACACGCUGCGCGGUGUUUCGGGUCUGUCGACUCUUGUGCAUACGUGGCCAAACAAACGUGUCUGGCACGGCCCAUCGAGGCACGUUUAGUAAUCGGGCCGUACCGUGUUAGUCCGUCGGCUGCGCCUUCAAGCAUGCCUGAGGCACAUUUAGUAAUUGGGUCGUGGGCUGCGCCUCUAGGCCCACGCACGGCCCGCUUAUUAAACGGGUCGGUCACUUGGUCUGAUUAGCACGCUCGGCUGUAUAAUUUUAGCCUUAUGAGCUUAUUUUUAGGUCUAUUGGAUCAUAUAUUAUGUAUAUAUGUAUAUUAAAAAUAUGUAAAAAAAUAAACGGAUUGUGUCGUGUCGGCCCGCGUGCCCAGGCACGGCCUGAGGCGUGCCUCGUGCCUGACACGGCCCGUUUAAAUCGUAUCGUGCCUUGCCCAUGACGGGCCAUGUCGCCAGGAUCGCGGGCCGGUCUGUUUAGCCCGGCCCGUUUGACCAGGUAUGCUCUUGUGUGCUCGCCACGGUUCGCAAACCCGCGCGGACGCAAUACCGGUCGGCCGUUCAUGUGUGAGCCUUUCAUAUUUGAUUUUCUAGAUCAAUACAAAGCAUACAAAACAGAAAACCUACAUACUACUACGUAUUAUCCUGGCUUUCGUUGUUGAAAAUGUAAACGACGUCGAUGCUUGGCGUGUGGGAGGGCUCCGGCUCCUCAUCCUCCUUCUCAAGCUCAUUCUGGUCCGCAAGCAUAUGCGCCUCCGUCGCGCCCUGCGCCGCCUCCAUCUCCUAUCAUCGCUGAUGACUCGCCUUCGCAUUCGACUCCAAACGAGUGAAGUUAAGGUGGCAUGUUGCUCAGUGCAUGGGUCCGCGACACUAGUGUCCCUCUCGUCUCCCUCUGGUUCGGUCUCCUCCUCCUCCUUCUCAAGCUCCGGCUCCUUCCCCUCGUCCUCCUCAAGCUCCUGCUCCUCCUCCACCUCUUCCUCAAGCUCUAACUCCUCCUCCUCCUCCUCCUCUUCCUCAAGCUUUGACUCCCCCUCCUCAAGCUCCGAUUCCUCCUCCUCCUCUAGAUCCACUACAUCGAGAGGUAGCCCUGCGGUGAUCCGGGCUUCGCAUCUUGCCCGGACCUGCAGCCGACGCUCCGACGUUAGAAAGUGGCGGUGGCAGGGGGUGCAUGACAUUGCCGAAGAGCAUGGGAGAGGAGGCGGAUGGGCUCGGGUGGCCACGUAGAGAGGAAGGAGGUGGAUGUGCUACGGUUGAAAAACGCCGACCAUCUUAAAUAGCUGAAUUUUGCCUCGGGCGGCAAACCGAAGCGUCGUCACGCGAUGUUCACACCGCUGUGACACGCGAGGCAUCCGUGGGACAACCGAAUUUCCAUACGAGCCCGCGUGGGACACCAUCGUCAGGCCGACAUAGCGAACGUGCAUGGACACAUCUCGACGCCUCUAUAUUUAUCCCAUAUUUAAGCUGGAUAUAAAGAAUGUCAGUUAGCUCGGCUGUUUGAGGCGUCCCGCUGGGUCAAAAUUUCGUGAGGGGCGAGUGACCAAGCAACCCGCCGUGACAUUUAAAACGAAUAUGACUGGUCCGGUUGUAAAUGCUCUAAGAGCAAGUACAAUAAGGUACAGUUAGCAGGCUGUAAGGAUUAAAAUACUAUAUUUUUGUUAAGUUGGAUGAGAGAGAAGGGAAGCGGACUUUUCGUGAAGAGUCAGCUCUAGCACGUACUCCUAGAUGCUUUGUGAGAAUGAAAGGUGGACCAUAUAUAAUAAAAGUAGUAUUUUUUUAACUAAUUAUUGUACAAGCUAGCUAUAAAGUGGGCUAUAAGAUGGCUUAUAACCAACAACAGUUGGCUAUACUAUUAACCAUGCUCUAAUCAAAAUUUGCUACUGCUACAAAUUCGGCAAACAUUACUUGCUGGGUUUUAUGGUGAUGUUUGUAUGAAGCAUUGCCCAUAAUUUGGCACGCGUUGUUGAUCCAUACACGGAGCUGCUUCCGGUGAUGAACAGGACACGCAAAUUGGUGUGUGUGGAAACCAGGAUCGACACGAUGGUAGUAGUGUUCAACAUGAUACCUGUAUCAAUUAAAGUUUCAUGGCGUAGAAACUUGGUAAAGGACAGGUCGUCGCUCAGAGAUGAGAAGUAAUAGUACAGCAUAGCUUUGCUUGCCGUUCAUCUGGCCAGCGCCGUAUUAAUUGGGUUGGGCGUGGCUAGAACGAUUAAUUGGACGGUGGCCCGAGUUAAGAAGCUGCACGUAUGGGCUAAGCUACGUUUAUUUUUUAUCUUGUUAGGGUAUCUCUCAUAUGUAAAUUUGCUUCGGCGUCCGUCCGUGGACAGGAGGCCAGCUCGCGGAUAUACUCCCUCCGUUUCUAAAUAUAAGUCUUUUAAUAAAUUCUCUAUAGAGAUUACAUACGAAUGUAUAUGGACAUACUAUAGAAUAUAGAUUCAUUUAUUUUGCUUCGUAUAUAGACCUUUCGUGAAAUCUCUAAAAAGACUUAUAAAAAUGAAGAGAGUGGUUAUGAAAACCGGUCAACCAACACUCCAUGCAUAUAUGUCAACCAGUGUUUGAACUAAACAAACGGUAUUUAUGCAAAUACGACAGAAUCCAUUCAAGUUCGGUCAUAAUUACGUAAAAACUAAAAAACUAAACAAAGAACUAAACCCUAUAACAAACGACCCCCUCUAUGCGUGGCCGUCCAGCCCCUCCCGCACCAUCGUCGGCGUCCCUCCAGCGGUAGAAUGACGUCGGAGGGCCGUGACAGCCUUGUCAGACGGCUGCCAGCUGCUCGCGGAGGAGCCACUCCGCGUCCUGCUACGGUGUACAUGGCCGCCGCAGCCACUGUCGAUGUAGUCUUCGAAGCCUUAGUGGCGGCCUUGUCGUGGCCGGCUUUAUGGAUCGCAAUUAUAACACUAAGGAAAAAUAUUGUGCUUUUUGUUAAUGAAAAUCAGCUUAAUCAAAAACAAAAAGGAAAAAUGAAGCCACGAAAUGAAGCAUUUGAAGAAAAAAGUGAAACAAAGUGAUAAGUGGGUUCCACCAAAUUUCAAACAUGCUACCUAUGAAACGUUCGUCAAAUCCAAAUAGCAGCGCAUCAUCGAGUACGGCCUUUUGUCUCCCGAGCUCCGUGAAAGCCGGAUUUUUAAAAAAAAUCGAAAUUCAAUUUUUUUGGUUUCAAAAAAUUAUGAAAAAAAUAUGCGUGUAUGUAAUGAUGUAAUAUACACGUGUGUAAAAAUUCAUGAUAAAAUACAUUGAAUUGCGAUCUAUAUAAAAAAGACAAAUUUAAAAGGACGGUUUUUUUUAUCUUGUUAGGGUAUCUCUCAUCUGUAAAUUUGUUUCCGUGUCCGUCCGUGGACAGUAAACCAGCUCGCGGAUAUAAUUGCAAAAACCGGUCAAUCAACAUUACAUGCAUAUAUUUCAAUCAUUGUUUAAACUAAACAGACGAAAUUAAUGCAAACACGACGAAAUCCAUUCAAGUUCGGUCAUAAUUACGUAAAAACUAAAAAACUAUACAAAGAACUAAACCCUAUAACGGACAACUCCCCUCUACGCGUGGCCGCCCAGCCCCUGCCGCACCACCGGUCGUCCCUCGAGCAGCAGAACAACGUCGGACGGCUGUGACAUCCUUGUCUGAUGGCUGCGAGCUGCUCGCGAAGGUGCCACUCUACCUCCUGCUGCGGUGCACAGGGCCGCCGCAGCCACUACCGAUUUAGUCUUCGAAGCCUUAGUGGCGGCCUUGUCGCGGCCGGCUUUAUGUUUCACUCGCUAAGUGACCACUCAUCGUCGAUCUUGUUGAGCUUGUUGUAAAGGCGACCGCGGCGCCCGUCGGGUGUCUCCGUGGUAGUGAAGGAGUGCUUGAGGGCCAACAUGGCGGCCACGUCGAGAUCGUUGAGGGCCAAUUCGAUGCUACAUCAUUUUUGGCGAUCGUACCGCGCCUGCGGCCUCGUCUCGCGCUCCUCAUCGGACACAACAACCUUGGAGCCCGAGUGGCCACCGCCACCGCCACCUUUGUGAUCGCGGGCGGAAACUCCUCCUUGACCGCACGGUCAAAGUUGUUGAUUUGUUUGAAAAUCAUUUGUCCCAGUCAAAGUUGUAAACCAAAUCCAAAAUCAAAUAUCUCAACUAAAUGAAAGAGAUUCAAAAUUAAAGAAGAUACAUAAUUAAAACAGUUGAAUGAAUAAACUCGUUGAGAAAUUAUUAGCCCAGUUAAACUUGGGUGACACAAAUCUAAAUUAAAGACCUCAACUAAUUGUGAGGUUUUAAAAAUUAGAAAGCAUAGUAUAGUAUAAAAGAAUUGAAUGAGAGAGUUUUAACAAAUUAUUGACCCGAUCAAAAUCGAAUGACACAAUUUCAAUUGAAGACCUCAAUUAAACGUGAGUUCUUUAAAUCUAGAAAGCUUAGUGUUAUAUAAUGGAGUAGUUCAGCAGAAAAAAUAUUGUGCUUUCGGUUAAUGAAAAUCAGCUUAAUCAAAAAGAAAAAGGAAAAAUGAAGCCACGAAAUGAAGCAUUUUAAGAAGAAAAAAAGUGAAACAAAGCGACAAGUGGGUUCCAUCUAAUUUCAAACAUGCUAUCCGUGAAAUGUCCGUCAAAUCCAAAUAGGAGUGCAUCAUGGAGUAGGGCCUUUUGGCUCCCGAGCUCCAUGAAAGCCGGAUUUUGAAAAAAAAAAUGUGUGUAUGUAAGGAUGUAAUGUACACGUGUGUAAAAAUUCAAGAUGAAAUACAUUGAAUUGCGAUCUGUACAAAUACGACAAAUUUAAGGUCUGAAAUGAUGAAUUGUAUCAUAUGUUAAAAACCUCAGAUUUGUUUUUUUUUCAUAACCCUCAUUUCAACAUAUUUUGAUCUGUAAAUUUACACACUUGCGUUAUACCUUGAUAUAUAUCUGUAAUAUUUUUCAAAAAAAUAAACUGAAAAAAUAUAAAUUUUAGAUUUCAAAUUUAGAGGGAAAAGCCCCGCGCAUCAUCGGCUUUUUAUCACGCGGAGAGGAGAAAGCGGUACGUGGUGGUUUUAAUUGGAAAUAUUGAUGUCCGGCUCUUGCAAACCUUUCUUAAGUUUGUUUCCAGGUUAUAGGAAUUCGAACAUACGGAGUGUCCGUGGACAAAUACGGGGCCUAGUUAGAUGACAUACUGUAUGCGUAUGUACGCCUUAUAUUUCUUGAAAAAGAACAAGUUAAUCGCACUAGAAUCACCUCAAAUUCCGUUCCAACGAUCGACACAACCGAUGAGCGGAACGGUAUUCAAUCGAACAUGGAGUGCCACCGCAAGGCACUGAGCAGAAAAUGACGAGCAUACUGUACUAGAUAAAGAAGUUAAGCACGGCUUUUCUGCUCAAACGGAUGGAUAAGUUGUUUGGUACGCGUAAACUUAUUAACUUAACUUUUAGGGCAUCUUCAAUGACAAUACGUAUAUUUUGUUUCGUACCUGUCUCUAUAGAAGGAUCAGUCCAUGGACAUAGAUAUAAAAGGUCGAUAUUCAACGUUGUCUACAUAUAUUUGGCCAACAAUUCAAAUUAAUCAAACGAAAUUUGUUCAAAUCUAGCGGAUUACAUAAUUUACAUAAACAUUCGGUAUUUUGACCGUUUUUAUUAAAAACUAUUAAGAACAGCAAAAACCUAUAUAGGACGACCACCUCGUAAGCGUGGCCUCUUUGUCGUGUCGCAUCGCCGUCGGCGUUCGUGUCGCUGUCGUCAUCAUCGUCCCUCCAGCGGCUCAAUGAUGUUGGAGGGUCGCGGCAGCCUUGUCCGACAGCUACAUGACACUCGAGGAGGAGCCGCUCCGCCUCCGGUUGCGUCGUGCGAAGGGCCGCCUUGUCCACUAUCAAAGGCGCCUUCGGCGGCCUUUCCCUUGUCAACGUUAGCGGAGCAGUCGCUAAGAGACCACUCAUCGCCGGCAUUGGUCAUCUCGUCGUCAAAGCGGAGGCGGCGAGGUCCGGGUCGUGGCGGACCCAUUCUGGUGCCACGUCCGUCUUCGCGAACAUGAAGCGGUGACCGGCAUCACGUUGGUCCUAUACCUCACCUGCUGUCGUGUCAUGGGCUCGCUCUCGGAUACCACAGCGUGAGAACUGGAGGCACCGUCAAAAUCACCGCCUUCGAGUGUGGCCUCACGCGUUGGGGGUGCCGGGUGACACCUCCUCCUUUACCGAGAGGCGGUGUCGUCGUGGUGGAAAUGACGGGUCGUCGAUUCACGUGUAUCGGUUGUGUGACGGGGGUGACGUCGGUUCGUCCUUCAUGCGGUAAAGGCGUCGGGGGGACGUCGACUCGUGCUUCACGCGGAUGCCGAUGAGGACGUCGCGAUUACACGGUUAGGACGGUGGCUCGUCCUUCGCCUAUCGAAGAUGUUGGGCCCGUGGUGGGAAUGGUGGCUCUUCAUGCACGCGCGCCGACGAUGAUGGUGUCAGUCCUAUCAGACGUAGCGAACACUCCCAUUAUCUCCAUCCGACGGACGAAUUCUUCGUUCGUCUGAGCCACCUCCGAGAGGAGAUGGGGCCAAUGUUGGUUCUCCUCGUUGUCGGAGAGCUUGCCGUUGUGGAUGCAGAUGGAUCCGAUGAGCAAGGGCGGCGAUGCCGCGAUCCACGUGACAAGGAACUUCCAUCGGCGCCGCCUGUUGGUGUGAAGAACUAGGACUUGACAUCGCCGCUAGGAUUGGAGAGGAGGAAGGUCUCAAUAAGGGGGAGUGCGGAUCCGUUCGUUGUCGGCGCAGGGCUUAAAUAGCUGCGCCCAAGCCAGGAGAAGGUGUGGUUAGCCUGCUUCAAUGCGGCGCAACGGCAUAAGUUGGCUCCUCGAGAUGUGGGCCCGCAUUGAAAUGACGACGCCUGGGAGGUCGUGUUCGUUUGUACCGUCUUUCUAUACGGUUAAGUUGUGGGCAUCAAUGCGGACUGCCGCAUGCUUUGGGCCGACAUAAAUGCGGCACGAAAAGUGGUGCGACGCAUGGGAUAGAAAACAUGGAAGGGCGUAUGACGGGUUUUGGUGGAGCAGUGAGACGCAAAUUUGGAAGCGAUCUGGACGUCCGUAAAUCCACCUCGCGUUUGUCUUUGAUUUAUGAAAAGAAAAUAUGUCGGUACCGUCGUUCAAACCGAUACAUGUCCGCGUUAAAGGACUAUUGUAAUCAAGGUAUACAUAUAGCGACGGCGGUUUGUGAGUCGGCCUUGAAGAUGGCCUUAACCUAUCAUCACCGUAGGCUGGAGAUGCGUUCAUGGUAGUCUCGUAGAUGGAAGUUCCAUUGUGGAUUAUUUGAAGCCGCAACGGUUCGGGGCGAGGGGUUCCCGAGUCAUUUUCCCGUUUCUUCUAGUAGUAAUCAUCACGAACAGAACAGCAUGAUUAUCAAGUUGUAUUAUUCAUGUCCCUGACAAAGCAAAGCAGCCAUCUCAUAAACUAAUGGAUCGCGUGUUUGGCGACGGAGGAGUUUAAUCAUCGGCUCGGGCCUACGUAGCAGCCGUGACCGUAGGUGUACCGCAUGCGAUCCUUGCUGCUCGGAAAUAUCCAAAUUAAAAAGAGCAUGCAAUCCAUGGCCGCAUUGACCCGCGAUGCAGGGUCGUACUACAAAGAAUGCAAAAGAAAAUGGGGGGCCGAUGGAGAAUCUAAUUUGCACGCUUCUUGCCAGCGGCGCCACCAUGGAUGUGGAUGGAUUACGAUCGUCAUCUGCGACGAAGACCAAGAUCGCGAUUCGAUGCCACGAGGCCGCGUGCUAAUCGUGGCCGCCUAUUAUAUGCGUGGUUCACGGGCAGAUGGCCGCGAUACGAGUGAGCGGAGGGUACGAAGCUGCUUCCUCACUUGGAAAUCUCCUCGGAUCCUCGCUGCUCUCGUCGUAAGAUCAUACAAUGGUUGGACCGUCUCCAUCUCGGCGAUCUGAUCAUGUCGCCUCUGCCCCCAAACUGUGGGCGGGCAGUACAGUAUUAUCACAGGAGUAGCAUAUACACAACGAGCCAAUAAUGCACUGUAUUAUCACAGUUGUAAUUUAAGGCCUUUCCGAGUUUCCAGUGGAGCACAUGGACACCUGAUUGUUGGGUAGCGCGCCUGGACUUUGGAGCAACACAAGUUAGCCAGCUGACCCGAGGUUUGCAAGCGAACCCAUGCAUGCUACCGACUUUGGAUCCACAUGCGAACCCAUGCAUGCUACCGUAGCCAAGUUCACGUGGGAGUUGGGUAAGCAAGUCCAUGCAGCAGCUGCAGGUUAAAACUGCACGCUAAGUACGUACUACUACGACUAUGUUUACAACUUGUGCUCUGCAUAGAAAUAAAUACUUGGUUUGCAAGCGCACACGAUGGACCGUGUUUGCUGAUCAGCGCCGCACGUGUUACCAUGUGAAACGCUCGCAGAUCCCCACUACUAUUAAAUAAGAGCAUCCGUAACUUCCAAAUUAAAUUCGGCCACACAAAUCUUCAGGGAUGCGUUCGGACACGUCGAGGGUACUGAUCGGUCACGUCUUUAAUCUACUUGUCCAUGUCCAUCUCUUUCAUAUUUCAUUCAUUAGAUUCAUAUAAAAUCAUUAAAAAAUGAAUAAUCUACAUACUACGUACUAUACUACUCUUCGUCAUCGUCGAAGAUGGCCCGAGCCGUCAGCGCCGCCUCCAUCUGCUGCCGACCAAGACUAGUGGCCUCCACGGCCGACUUCAAACGGAUGGAGUUUAGGAUGGCCUGCUACUCCGGCCAUAGAUCCACAUCCUCCUUUCCCACAUCCAGCGGCGACGCCUUCUCCGUCGGCUCCUGCUGGUCCUCCCCACACCUAGUGACGGUGCCUCCUCCAUUGGCUCCUGCUCCUCCUCCUCUUCCACCCCAGCUCCUGUUGGGAACGUAGUAAUUUUUUUUUAAAAAUCUACGCCAUGCAAGGAUCUAUCUAUGAAGAAACCAGCAACGAGCAAAGGGGUAGAGCAUCUUCAUACCUUUAAAGAUCGCUAAACGGAAGCGUUACAAUGAACGCGGUGGAUUUCAUCUAUGUGCCGAACCACGGCACCUCCGUGUUCAACACACGUUUAGUCCGGUGAUGUCUCCCACGCCUUGAUCCAUCAAGGAGGAGGGAGAGGUUGAGGGAGAGCUCCGCAGCACGACGGCGUGGUGGCGAUGGAGUUACGUGGCACUCCGGCAGGGCUUCGUCAAGCUACGCGGAGGACGAGGACGAGGAGGAGUAGGGCUGCGUCGAGAGAGAGAGAAUUCUCGUUCCAAAUCUGUCCAAAACCAUCACUAUAUAUAGAAGGAGAGGGAGGAGGGUGCGACAACUCUAGAUGGCCCUUAGGCGGCGGGCAAGGUGGUGGAGGCGCCCUAGGGUUGGGCUUUGAGGCCCAAAGUGGCCUCCAACGCCUAGGGUUUGCCCCCCUCCACCCCUUGUUGCGCCUUGGGCUGCUUGUGGUAGCGCACCAGCCCACAUAUGGACAUGUUCCAUGCUACGAUAGCUAACUAGAGGGUGUCGGUCAGCUGAGCAAGAUCACACAGUCCAUGCUACGAUAGCUAACUAGAGUUUAUGAAGGAUUUUCUGUUCUUUCUUUCUGUGAUAGAUGGACCCCCAUGACAUCAACAUUGACCAUUAGUUAAAGAGUUUCUUACGUCCAACGGUGGAGGAUCUUUUAGGCAGGCGUAGACAAAGAGGCGUAGAAAAAGAACGUAACCCAUGCAAACCAAGUACUAGUGGAGUAUCUUUUAGGCAGGCGUAGACAAAGUAGGAUUUUUUUUCUGUUCUUUCUUCCUGUGAUAGAUGGACCCCCAUAACAGCAACAUUGACCAUUUCACUUAAACGUUAUCCCAUUCCACGUGGCUCUGACUAAUGGGUUCUGCUGUCAGUUUUUUUGUGUCAAAACAUGGUCAAACGUCGUUUUUAGUGCUUUCUGCAAACAAUUAUUCAGAAUCGGUGUUUUUAGCAAACCUUUUAUAAAAAAAUGUAUUUUUCAGCACUGAGCGACGUAAUUAUGCUAGUUUUUGACAAUUUACCCAGUACUAUUCCUACUUUAUCUACGCCUGCCUAAAAGAUACUCCACUAGCACUUGUUUUGCAAGCGCACACGGCCAUGUUUGUUGAUUAGCACCGCACAGAAAACGCUCGCUGAUCCACACUACUAAACUAAAGUAGUAUGAAUGAUCUCAAAAAGACUAGCAGCCGAGCCUCAGGUGGAUGGGACAGAAAACACAAGCCGCACUACAAGAUGUUCAGAUUGCGACGCGCAUGGCUAAUUGUGUGUCCACUACUGUUAAUUCAAGCUCAGGCUGAGCAUCUACUAAAUCAACAGAGACAGCCGAUGAGAAGGAUAAUGGCCCUCUCUUUUUUAAAAAUGCCACUCUUCCCCUUUUGGGCGGGCCAUGGAGUUGGUUUCGUGCAAGCAGUGCCCGUCUUGACCUUGGUUAGAAGCCUCGAGCAAGUGUCAAGUCAUCACUCCUAUGUAAAACCCAUCUUUUUUGUACACGGCUUUGUCAAGAAAAACAAGAAUGAAAAACUCGCCUACCUUUGCCCACCGGAAUUUGGGGGCUGGUGUUAAUUAAAGCUAAAAGGCUGGAUGGAGAUUGUUUCAGAGAACACGUGGGGACAUAAAAAUGACUGACAUAACACAACUAUUACAGUCCGUCCUUAAUCAUUGCGGUUCAUCUCCUAUCAGCCGUCAAGCCCAUCCAUCCUCUCCAAAAUGUGUCGGCAUUAUUAGCCAUCUCCUCACAUCGGCAUCGUUAUUGUCAUCGUUGUCAUCAUCAUCAUCGGCAUCGGCAUCCCGACGCAUUAUAAAUUGCAAUAAUUCAUUUUAGCAAACACUGAUUUGGUGAAUUAUUGAUCCCGCACUGUCAGCACAGGAUCCGUUGGGCUGCCAAGACGGAGAUAAUUAGGAGCACAAGGGACAAACACGACGCGCCUCCUUUUGUUAAUUAAAUUCAGCAUGGGCAUGUUGCUCGAUCGAGUGUUUGAGAUGCGGUGACCAACUACAGCUUCUUCACCUCUCGCACGUCCUUCUUGUUGCUGCUAAACAGUGUUGCCUCUCGCUGAACUGACUGGCCAACAACCCCUUUGUACCAUCCAGAUCCAGAUUCCUCUCACAAUACUCCUGCAAAAGUUACUCCAUGUUGUGCGUUUGAUUUGAUUUCCCCCUGACAAGUUGGCAUAUGUUCCCGGCUCGGUUUCCACAUGGCAAUGAAGUGUAUGUUACAGAUGUAGGACAUGCUCAGUCCCUUAGCUCAUGCAGCUUCUCCACUGAUCAGUGAACAUGGACACGCCAAUUGAUGCAUGUAACUAAAUCAUUAGGGGUUCAAAAAGUCUCGCUAUCACAAUGUGCAAUCAUAUUCACGUGACUCUGCAUGUCGUAUACGGUGAGGUGUUGGUUCGACGAUCGUCUGUGAUAGGGUCGGAGUCACUUGCUCCGGAUUCAAGAUGGCAACAGGAGAAGUGAUGCCGGCGCCCGGCGCCCGUGAGCUAUAUCGAUGGGGGUCUCCGUGAAGAGUGUUUCAUAUGUGCUGCUGCGAUUGUGGUAGUUUCUGUUAAUUAAGUGAGCAAUUCGUUCCGCUUAAAAACGGAUGGGGCAUUUCUUUUCAUCCAUUUCAAACAAUAGUAAAUGCCAUGACUGACACAAUUCCAGUGGAAGCAAAUCUGCUUUAUUUAUUCGGCUUAAAGAGCAACUGCUGACAUAGUACUGUCACAGACACACACUACACCAAUCUCUCGACAAGUUUCGUACGUGGCGAACGCCCUUUAUUCAUCCAUGGUUGCCGAUGGCUUAGAUUAGAUGGAGAUGCUGUUGGGGAUGCCCUUGGCGGUAAGCCCGGCAGCGGCGCCCUUGUGGUCGGAGGUGUUGGGGUAGAGCAGCAUGUAGGGAAACUUAGCCGGGCCGUUGCGGUUCUUGAGCUCCGGGUCAUGGUUCAUGCCCACCACCUUGCUCUCGAUCUCCACCAGCCGGUCGCUGAACCGCUUGAACACCUCCAGGGCCUUUGGGUCCGAGGUCCACUCCGGCGUGUCCCGCUGCCCGAGGUACAGCUCGUCGGAGGAGUGCUUCGACAGCACCUCCAGCAGCGACACGCCGAUGAUGGUCUGGAUCUGGCUCGUGAUGGUGUGGAUGAAGGCCCGCUCCGGGUCGCGCUCCAGCUCCGCGUACUCCUCCGUGCCGGGCUCCGGCAUGCGGCGCCGGCUCACCGUCGGCCGGUUCGGGAGGAACCCCGCGUAGGGGUACUGCCCGAAGUUGACUGCCGCAUGCAGCGCCGACCCGAUCCAGAUGAUGGUGGUGCACGCCUUGGCCAGCUCCGGCACACUUUGCAUCUUGGGCCACCAUGGGGCGUCCUUGAGGUCGCCGUGCCCGACCUCGCGCGUCUCCUUCCACCACGCCUGCACCUCCGUAUCGCCCUGCAGCACGCCGUCGUUCGGGUAGUAGAUGGCCAGGUACUCGCUCACGUACUGCUCAAUGGCGUGCCAGAUCGCCAGCCCGUCCGCCGCGUACGGGUAGUCCGACACCAGCAACCGCACCUUGUACGGGCUCGACGGGUCCUCCACCGCCAUGCCCCUGCAUUUUUUUUACCACGUUCCUGUCAGUGAGCGAGACGCCCAAUUUGUUUUACACAUUCAUAACAUUUACCAGGUACGUACCUCUUGAUGAGAUCGUCCGGCAGUCCCUGCUCGGUGAACUUCCAGUCCUUGUACACCACGGCCGACAUCCCCAACGCGAACUUGCCCGGGAACACCGUCAUCUCG